rnacentral:RNase_P_RNA from 1 species
CAAGUACGUCCACUCCACCGCUUGCGGUACUUCGGUGACCGCAAGAGGAAAGUCCGGGCAACGCAGGGCGCCACGCCGGCUAACGGCCGGGGUUCUUCCAACGGGAAGGAUACGGAAAGUGCCACAGAAAGCUAUACCGCCCCGGCCUGGCCGUGGGUAAGGGUGAAAACGUGCGGUAAGAGCGCACGCCGUUUCGUAGUAAUACGAUUCGGGGGUAAACCCCGUGGGUUGAAAUACCAAACAGUAUUGCCUUCCGCCUUCGGGCGGAACGCGGGCGGCCCGCUCGCCACUCCAGCAAUACGGGUAGGUAGAUCGAGCCGAUCGGUAACGGUCGGCCUGGAUAAAUGGUGGAGCUCCCGACUCCGUCGGGACGACAGAACCCGGCUUACCGGAACGCACUUGUUUU